CAGCCGCCGCGGGAAUACGAAGGGUGCAAGCGUUAAUCGGAAUUACUGGGCGUAAAGCGUGCGUAGGCGGUGAGUUAAGUCUGCUGUGAAAUCCCUGGGCUCAACCUGGGAAUGGCAGUGGAUACUGGCUCGCUAGAGUGUGUCAGAGGAUGGUGGAAUUCCCGGUGUAGCGGUGAAAUGCGUAGAGAUCGGGAGGAACAUCAGUGGCGAAGGCGGCCAUCUGGGACAACACUGACGCUGAGGCACGAAAGCGUGGGGAGCAAACAGGAUUAGAUACCCCCGUAGUCCCUGUCUCUUAUAC
rnacentral:rRNA from 1 species